GCUGUAGAAGCACCACCAGACUGCAUUCUUUCCCUUCAGACCCUCAUGCGACUCAGCAAUGGUUGCAGAUUGCAAGGCGGUCCCUCAAUAGCAACACCACUGCUAUGUACAUUUACAAUCUGCAUUUUUCUGAAGAUUGCUCUUCCAAUCACAUGGAGGCUGAGUUGGGAUUUGUGUCAACCUGCCAUCUUCACCUCACUCCCUCUGCAGCUCCCAACCCUGCAAACUUGUGUGUGUGACCUGAAUACCCAUGUUUUUAGCAAGGUUUCAUGUCUGACUGAUUGUGAGAGUGACCCUGGAAUGAAAGAAACUGCAUGUCAAACAUGUCCAGUGGGUCUGCAACAUGACACUGUACAAGUGAAACCCUCCAGGAGAAGACAUCAGUUGAGACUAAGUCUCAUGAGAUGAAGAAGUUUAUCAUGUAUGAAGACAACUUAAUGCAACUUUUUCAGCAUUGUCC